GACGAACGCUGGCGGCGCGCCUAACACAUGCAAGUCGAACGAGCGAGAGAGAGCUUGCUUUCUCAAGCGAGUGGCGAACGGGUGAGUAACGCGUGAGGAACCUGCCUCAAAGAGGGGGACAACAGUUGGAAACGACUGCUAAUACCGCAUAAGCCCACAGGUCGGCAUCGACCAGAGGGAAAAGGAGCAAUCCGCUUUGAGAUGGCCUCGCGUCCGAUUAGCUAGUUGGUGAGGUAACGGCCCACCAAGGCAACGAUCGGUAGCCGGACUGAGAGGUUGAACGGCCACAUUGGGACUGAGACACGGCCCAGACUCCUACGGGAGGCAGCAGUGGGGAAUAUUGCACAAUGGGGGAAACCCUGAUGCAGCGACGCCGCGUGGAGGAAGAAGGUCUUCGGAUUGUAAACUCCUGUUGUUGAGGAAGAUAAUGACGGUACUCAACAAGGAAGUGACGGNUAACUACGUGCCAGCAGCCGCGGU
rnacentral:rRNA from 1 species